AUCUUCUAUAGUAGAAAAGCAAUGAUAUUAGAUACAGAAGCAGCUGUUAUAGCAAAUUUUGAAUUUUUGGGACAUACAGACAUGGACAUGGAAGAGGAAUAAGGAGAUGGAGAGGAUGAAAUUUAUGAUGCAAUUACGGAUACCAAACCAAAUAAAGCAUCUAUCCCCCUUCUGGCGAAAGAUGUUGAUACAGAUGCAGAGGCAGAAGUAUUAAAUGAAUAAAAUCUCCUCACAGAAAUUGAAGAAUCGCCACCUGGUUCUAUCCAUCUGGAUGAAUGAAUUCUUCAAAGGGAUUUAUUACAUAGAGGAUUACAAGAUCCAAGACGCCCAAAUAAUAAAGAAGGCGGUGAUUCCAUGUUGGAAUUAGGAAAAUUAGAACAGUUAUGUGUUAACAAUGAUGCAGGAAUAUCGUACGAUAUGGUUCCCAGCACGAAGGAGACCUUCAGAAAAACAUGGAAUGCUAAAUAUACGUUCGCAUUUUGACGCUGUUAGAGCACUCGUCUUCCAUCCUGCAGAUACGGUUCUUAUUACCGCAAGCGAUGAUUACACACUGAAGUUUGUGGAAUUUUCAUAAGACUGUACCGACAAAAAAGUAAAUCCAAUAUCGAUUAACACGUUGACUGCCACGGAAUUUUUUACGAUUCCAGCCUAAA